GAAGCAAAGGGAAUUUUUACACACGAAAUCACUGCUGCACCACGCCUACGAUUUUGUCUCGGAUUUUUUAUCCCACGAAAAUGACCUGCUAUACAGUAUGUACUGAUUAUGGCUUAGGCAAAAUACACAAUGGAGUCUGUUCCGUGAGUAAUCAUUCCCUAGAAGUGAGUGUCUACUGUAUGUAUGAGACUGUGUACAGUGUAGUAAGAAGUUUCACUCUUACAAAUGAAUAUACCGAUAAUACGUGCCUAAAAUUUAUGCCUGUGGUCUUACAUUACAAGCAUAGUUACUAGUAUUAACAACAUGUCCAAUUAACAACGCCAUCACGCUAUAGUAUAAGUGUACAUAAGAAAUACAUGCAUGUACCAUGAUUGUGACCUUUCUCCAAGAAGUAACCCAUACAAAGUGCCCACCCAAAAGGUCCACCUAUAACAGUACGCAUUAAUAUGCUCCUUUAAAAUGGUUUCAGUAUAUUGCUGCAAGUUUCUAAGCCAUGCAAUUUUGAGAGGCCGCUAGUAGCAAGUAGACUGAUCAUGUGCAUAUAAGAGUGCCAGAUACCUGGUUCUUUGCACCCUCGAUAAUAUAUGUACACGUGUAGUUGUCUGCACUCGCUCCCUAUAUACCCGGGUACAUGUACAUGUAUUAAAUUAACAAUAACUUUAUGACUGACUUUGACAGAGCACCCUCGAAUAGCUAUAAUUGUAAGCACUGCAAUAUGUCCUUUUAGAUAUUCUGUCACGUACCUCUAGGGGAAGCUCAGAAUUCUGGAGAAUUGGACAAACAGCUGUGAUAAGUCAGCGCUACCAAAGCAGCUGUCCAGACGGAGGACCAUGUGUCCGAGUCUGCUCUCACGUGACACUGCGUCCCACCAGCCCUGGUCUGAGGCUCCUCCCCCCACAACCUCCUCUCUCACUUUAGCCCCACUCAAAUCUUCGACCAUGUCCGUAUUUGUUGCUCUAAGAUCAUGUGACAAGUCCUAAGUACACCAGGUUUAUGAAGUUCCUGCAUGAUCAGGAGGUGAGAGGGAAUGUUUAGCUGUUGCUUUAUUUAGCUUUUGUGUACAUGUAUGUGUUUAGUUUCCUGUCAUAAACACUGUUUGUACAUGUACGUGUUCUAUGCAAAAGUGCUUAGUGACUCUGUCGCCUUUGUAAAACUUAAUUAUUGUAGUCUGUGAGUAGACUAAUAGUGGCUGUAUUAUAGACUAUGAUGUGCGUGACCACAAUAGACUGCAUGGUUUCACUGCAUUACUAGUGUUUAAGCUUCCAUAUACUUCCCCUUUAUUAUGCAGCCCCAUGUUGACUACCUCCCUGGUCAAGUAUUUGAGGGCGGUGGCUGACACCUGUCACGCAUCAGUGCUGGAGACGACGUUCCCAGGGCAACUGUUUGCCUCCCUCGUUCAAUUGCUCCUCAUACGAGAGCCCAGCACACAGCUGGAUGUGGCCUUACUCUGGCAUCGUCUCGUAGAUCACCAUGCCAACAAAGACAAGAUUCCUCUCAACACGUGCGUGGAUGUGUGUGUGUGCACCUUGCUAUGUUCUGUGUGCAUUUGAGGCGUACUAGAUUUUAUUUGUCAGUUACACAGGUCCAUAUGAGCUUUUGUCUUAGCUUUCACUAUGUGUACAAUCAUGUGCAGUGCUUACAGCUACAUGUACAUGUACGUGUAUUUAUACCCUCCCCUAACCAAAAGUGUACCUAAAAACCAGUAAAUCAUGAAUUAUAGCCACUGUGAACAUAUGUAAAGGGAUGGUCAGGAUACCUAAACCAUUGAACAAUUAUGUGAUGAAGUCUAGAACCUUAGCUGUACAAGAUUACUGUUUUAUUACUCUAACCGAUCUAUCGAUAUAAUUAUAUAGGACAACGCAGUUUAAUUAAACUUUCGUAUUAAGCUUUGUUGUUUAGCCCUUACAACGAGUAUUGUCGGUGGAGGACAACUUCUCUAUCUGCUCUCUAUACGAGAUAGUUGAUGGGCCCGAAUAUUGAUGCUGCUCUAUAAUAGCACAACAAGAACUCAUUUGCAUUAUUAUAGUCUAGCAAACUAAAUUGUGCGUAAAAACGACUAUAAUGAGAAGUUCAUUAGGAAGAGUAUGCAACUCCCACUAACCGUAGUAAGCAUUCUGUCUAACCUACAUCACAACCACAUAGCUGUUGUAUAAACUGUUAAAAUUAAUCUGCGAUGAAUGGAUGAAUAAACAUGAAUGGAUGAAUAACCGUUAGUGAUGAUUAGAUUAGUUAGAUAGCUUUGAGUAGCUAGUUUUAGAUAGCUAGUGCAACUGAAUAAUUGCACACUGUUCUAUUAAACUUAGCUAGCUCGCAUGCAGCUGCAUGCGCUUGUUUUUUUUUGGGAGAGGGGGAGAGGGGGGUGGAACAACCUUACUUUGUUCAUGCUAUGAAUGGAUGAAUAAAAACGUUAGUGAUGAUUACCACUAAUUGCUUUUUCUUAUCAGCAUUGUUAUUGUUAUUGUUGUAUCUCAAGUGGCUGUGGUUACAUGCAAUAGUGAGUUUGCCUCCUGUGUACAGUCUAUUGGAGUAGCGUACUCUUCCUCUUGGUCCUAUCUGUGUUAUAUGACUCUUUCUGUAGCUACAAUUCUUUGCUUUUGGCUCAUUAUGCACUCGGCAUUUGUCAUGGAUCACAGCAAAGGCUUUUCUUAUUUCGCCCCAUAAUAAUUAUAAGCAAUGCUGUGAAUAACCCCACCUCCUGUCAACAGACUAGUGAAUGCUAUCAGUGGAGGGGGGGGGGUGGAACAACCUUACUUUGUUCAUGCUCUGAAUGGAUGAAUAAACGUUAGUGAUGUCUUAUUUCGCCCCAUAAUAACAUUGCAAUGCUGUGAAUAACCCCACCUCCUGUCAACAGACUAGUGAAUGCUAUCAGUGGAGAGGGGGGUGGAACAACCUUACUUUGUUCAUGCUAUGACUGAUGUUAUGUACCUAAUCUAUACGCACUUUAAUUAUUCUUAUACUUGGUUAUAAUUCUACUGGCCUUAUGUGACAUAUUUUUCUACUUCACGCAUGCAGGUGAUGCUUAGAAGUCAAAGGCAGUAUCUUACAAUUGCAGUGAACCGAGUGCAGACUUGCUAUGGUUAACUAACUAUUUUUAAAAAAACCUUUCACUUUUAUAUCCUCAUCGUUUGUUUAAUACAAUUUUAAUACUGUAUUAAUGUAUUGUUGUUUGUAAUGUUUGAAAUUGAUUUAGCACAAUACAAUCAUGUAGCAGAGAUGCUGAACUGAUGAACUUAAUGAACUCUGACUCUAACCUGUGACCUAUGUACUUAGAACUUAUUGUAUGUCAUGUGAUGUUUUGUAGACAUGCGCACAAGAGUGCUGGCCAUGUGCUUCUAAGAUCAAUCUGAAUAAGAAGUGAACACAGCUGAACUAUUCAACAGUGGACGUCCUGCCGAGACCAACCAUACACCCAAGGACAGUAAGAACGCCUAGCAACUGCAGGAGUCAUGACUGACCGGAGUGAGACAGCCAUUGAUCAAGCCCGGACCGAGGAAGGCCCUGUCGUCGACUUAGAAGAACCUCGAGUAAAGACUUACCCGUUGAACUCUCGCCGAUUGGCCACAGGAGUGGUGAAGCGUAUCGCCAUGGAGCUAGGACUGCCAGGGAAUGCAUCGAAAGAGGACACCUUCCCCAUGCUUGAAGUUGCACCUCGAGGGGAAGCUCAGAGUUCUGGAGAAUUGAACCAACAGCUGUGAUAAGUCAGCGCUACCAAAGGUGAGCUCAAUCACUUUAAGAAUAAAUGUAUUUGAGCAGUAAUUGGUCGCCAGAGUUGAGAGAGCUGAGAUCUCACUAGGGAAAAGUAAAAUUGUUUCUUAUAUAGUUUUGAUCGAGUUGGUAGAGGAAAUCAUAUUUUCAGAAGGCCCUAACACCUUGUAGGCUUUAGCUGAUAUGAAGUUGUAGUGAGCCUCCCAUUUCAGACACAAACAGUCCAAUUAAGAUCUUCUUAUCAGAGAGUACCUGCAUUUCAUGUGACUCAUCAAUAGCAACUGAAUGCCAUGGCCUACCAUUGAUGCUCACAACAAAAAUUGUUAUGUUUAAGAUAUUGUUUGUUAUGCUUAAAAUAUUGUUUAUAUUUUUACUUGUACUCAAAUUGUGUGUGGCUUUACUAGGCAUGCUAAAACAAGUGACAAAAAAUUUUGGUAACAACGAAUCUGUUCCUUACUUAGCAUACACUGUAGCUAAAGGCUUGUACAACAGCUACCAGCUAAAACUGACUUGUACUCGCUCACCGUUAUUCCAUAAGCGCCGUCUCAGUAAAAAUUCCAGGGGGGCUGGUGGUAGCUUUUUGUAACAAAAACAGUGCAACCUCUUUCAAAAAUAAGAGGCAUGGCAUUAUUUAAGGCUUGGUGGUUGCUACAACACCUAUGCAGCCAGUAUCAGACGUUAUAGCUUGAGUUAUAGGACUGUAUCUUCAGCUAUUGCCACUAACCUACAACACUAUCAAGCGGAGCUUCUUUGUGAUUUUUGUUGCUGUUGAUGACGUCACGGUUGCAAAUAUAUUCACGUGAGCUGUCAGAUGGCGGAGCAACUGGUCAGUGGAUGUGAGCAAGUUUGAGGUGUCUGGUCGUUUCCUGGGCAGGCAGAUGGAGAAUGUGGAGCUGGUCUUCCAGGACCUCCUUCAGCUGCAAUACGAGGGUCUGGCAAUCAUGAAGAUGUUUAGAAGAUGUUUGGGAGGGCUAAAGUGAACGUUAAUUUGCUCAUCUUCCUCAUAAUUAUAUGAACAAAAGGCAUCAGAACAUUAAAUUUGAUUUUCACUAGCAAAUUGCUUGCAUUGACAAUUUACUGUGCAUGUGAGCAUUUAUCCAAUUCAAGGAGAAGCCCUUGUUAUGCCUCGAGGCGUAGCCGCACGAGGGAUACCGUAAAGCUGACUGUGCGUGUGUGUCUAUUAUUACCGCACGAGGGAUACGGUAAAGCUGACUGUGUGUGUGUGUGUGUGUGUGUGUGUGUGUGUGUCUAUCAUUACCAAGGAGAAGAAAAAAAUUACUGCCUUGUGUCAGGUAUAUAGUGUUGUGCUUGUACAGUGUAUGUAAGUACAUGUAUUCAUUUGUCUUACACCAGUUGAAGUGUUUCACUGCCCUCUCUUCUCCCCACACAGGACCUCCUUCAGCUGCAAUACGAGGGCCUGGCAAUCAUGAAGAUGUUUAGAAGAUGUUUGGGAGGGCUAAAGUGAACGUUAAUUUGCUCAUCUUCCUCAUAAUUAUAUGAACAAAAGGCAUCAGAGCGUUAAAUUGGAUUUUCACUAGCAAAUUGCUUUGUGUUCAUUGACAAUUUACUGUGGAUGUGAGCAUUUAUCAUUAUUACCAAGGAGAAGCCCUUGUUAUGCCUCGAGGCGUAGCCGCACGAGGGAUACGGUAAAGCUGACUGUGUGCGCGUGCGUGUGUCUGUGUGUCUGUUAUUGUUACCAAGGAGAAGCCUUUGUUAUUGCUGUGCUAUUGACAAGUUGUAAUUAAUUAACAACAUUAAUUUUGUUUUUAUAGUGUCUAACAUAAUUAUAUAUACUAGUAUAUAAUACUUCACUACUUUUCUCUAUGCAUUUAAAUUGUCAUUGAAUGCAUUAUGGCAGAAUUAAUUAAAAUCAAUUGUCAAAACUGUAUGAACUAGUGUUCAAGCUGGCGCUGUGCUAAUGCCUCUCGCCAUGUUUUUGCUUUCGCUGAAAAGUAUUAGAGUGUUAUAUUAGUUUCUAUAAUGAAUUUUAUAUUAAAGUUAGCUUAUCUAUAUAAAGUCACUGAGAAGAAAAGACUUAUUUACAUGCAUCUAUUGUUGUAUUAUGUGGCUUACUAGAACCUCAAGAAAGAAGAAAAUUGAUUCUUCCAAGAUCUGUAGUUCAGUGUAUAUAAUAUCUAAGAAGAAAAGACCUGUGUACAUGCAUAUUGUUAUCUAUAUUGUUAUAAUUAUGGUAGUGUUUUGUGGCUUACCAGGCCUUCAAGA